rnacentral:rRNA from 1 species
AUACGGAGGGAGCAAGCGUUGUUCGGAAUCACUGGGCGUAAAGGACGCGUAGGCGGGUUUGUAAGUCAGGUGUGAAAUCCUACAGCUCAACUGUAGAACUGCACUUGAAACUACAGACCUAGAGUAUGGAAGGGGCAGAUGGAAUUAGUGGUGUAGGGGUAAAAUCCGUAGAUAUCACUAGGAAUACCGAAAGCGAAGGCGAUCUGCUGGGACAUUACUGACGCUGAGGCGUGAAAGCGUGGGGAGCAAACAGGAUUAGAAACCCCGGUAGUCC